rnacentral:lncRNA from 1 species
GCCUCUGUGGGUACUAGGCACACAUGUGAGGUGGAGACAUGCAUGGAGACACAGCACUCAUACAAAAAAAUGCCAUGGGUGGGGCCUGAGGGUAGGUCAUUAAGUUAUUGGUGACAUUAAGGUACGUUUUGCAGGGCACUGAUCGGGUUCCUCAAAGAAUGAGUUAUCAGGAGACCCAUGCUCUCCCACUUUUGCCACCUGUCAUAAAGUGGUAGCUUUAAGGGGAGCCCUUGCCACAGCCAGUGAUGUGUUGUUUGAACACUCAGAUUUCAAAUCUCUAGGUACAUCUCAACAUUUUACAAAGUCACCCUGCUUCAGGUAUCUUAUUAAGAGUAUCUUAUAUUACUAUAUUAUCAAAAGGCAACAGGUGUGGACUAAAAAGAGCAUCUCCAAAGGCACAGAAAAAAAUGAAGUUAAAAGUAUGUAAAAGAAACCCUAGAUAGUACCAAUAAAAUCCCUAAGCCCAUAGGUUGCUAUUGCUUGAGUUGGGAAAAGAACAACAAAGGAAAGACCAUAGACUUACUGAGCAUAUUUAAGCCCUGAUUUGGGCAGUUCAUUUUUAUGGUCACAAAUCUCACAGGACAGAUCCAGCACAUCCAGGCCAGGGCUGUGCACUUAAUUGGUUUUCCUAAACAGCAAGUACUUUCAAGGUAAUGCCUAACUUUUUGACACUUAAAUGAAAGGGGGUCCUCUAAAGAGGACAUGAGAAUAUUCAAAGGGGUUAGGUUAGUUACUCGGUCCAUAGGAAUGUCUCACUAAGGACAUGUAAUACAGAAGUGGCUACUACACCCAGGGCCAAGAUGGCUCCUGGGAUAAAGGACUUGAAUUACUCUUUUAAUUCUUAAAUUAAAAAAAAAAAAAAACUAAAGCGAUUUUGCAAAUUCCUUAGUGCCUUAACCAAUAAACAUUAUUUCAACACUUAGACCAUUCACACAAGAAAUUAUCUAAAAAGAAAAAAGCCUGCAUAACUAAACCUUUGUCUUGCAAAAAAAUCAGUCUCACAAAUGGAAGGCCUAUCCAGCAUAUUCCUGACAGUCUCUUCUGUACAUUAAUUUAUAAAAAGGACAAUAGGAUAUGACAAGUCAAGGCUCCUCAAGUAUUAGUCAAGUACCCCAAAAUAAAGGGCUGGUGAGAUGACUCAGUAGGUAACCAAUCCUAAAGACCUGAAUAUGAUCCCUAGGACCUAUGUGGUGGAAGGAGGGAGAGAGCAGACUCCUAGAAGCUAGCUUUCAAACAUAGACUUGUGUGAUGAUUUGAAUGAGAAAGGCCCCCAUAGACUUAUAGAUUUGAAUAGUCACCAGGGAGUGGAACUAUAUGAAAGGAUUAGGAGGUGUGGCAUUGUUGAAGUGUGUCACUAGAGGUGGGCUUUGAGGUUUUAGAAAGCCCAUUCUAAGCCCAGAGUCUCUCUUUCUGCUCUCUGCAGAACCUGGUAGAGAUCGCUCAGCUACUCCUCCAGCACCUUGUCUUCCUGUGUGAUAUGAUGCUUCCCAGAAUGGACUAAGCAUCUAAAACUGGGAGAAUGUGCGAUUACAUGUUUUCCUUUAUAAGAGUCGCUGUGGUCAGGGUGUCUGUUCACAACAGAACACCGAUUAAGACACCAUGGCAUGUGUGCACCUGUUCUCUAGCCUGUGCUCACUCGCUCCAUCACUCUGCCCCUUCCUACCCCACCCCAUCUCUCUAAACUCAAAUGAAAGCUGGCUUGUCCAGUGCUGGCAAUGGAACUGAAAACUUUCUGCAUGCAAGGCAAUGAUUCUAUAAGGCUCCAUCAUUAGCUCAACUCUGGUGUGUGUGUGUGUGUGUGUGUAGGUAUAACAAAUUCAGUACUUUGUGAAUACUUACUACCUAGUUAUUAAUUUGAAAAUUUUAAAAACGAUUUAUCUAUUUUUAUGUAUAUGAGUACAUUGUCGCUAUCUUCAGACAUACCAGAAGAGGGCAUCAGAUCCCAUUACAGAUGGUUGUGAGCCACCAUGUGGCUGCUGGGAAUUAAACUCAAGACCUGUGGAAGAGCAGUCAGUGCUCUUAACUGCUGAGCCAUCUCUCUGGCCCCUGAAAGCUUUUUUUGUAUAGUAUCUGCUCUGGUAUUCACUAUGAAGCUCAGUCUAGCUUUAAAUUUAAGGCAGUCCUUUGGCUUCAAUCCCUCAGUGCUCAGAUCACAAACAAACACUCUUUCUUAGCUCUUAAUCUGACACCUGUUCUUUGGUGUUUUUGAGACAGUCUCUCUGUGUGGUUUUGACUAUCUUAGAACUCACUAUAUAGUCUAGGCUGGCUUUGAACUCACAAAGAUCCUCCAGCCUCUGCCUCCUGAGUGCUGGGAUUAAAGGUGUAUAUAAUAUGAAACAUUUUGAGCUUUAUAUUAGCACCCCAAAAUUUUCAUAUUUGAGAUUUCUGGAUUGGGUAUUUCUGUGUAUAUACUUAUGUGUAUUGAAACGAUAACAUUUGAAACAUCUGGAAGAAUUUUGAAACAUUUCUGGUUUCAAAUAUAUCGGAUAAAUUAAUACUCAAUCUAUAUGUUGGAAUCUAUAUGUUGGAAAAAGC